rnacentral:tRNA from 1 species
GCCUGGGUGGCUCAGUUGGUUAAGCACCCGGCUUCGGCUCAGGUCGUGAUCUCACGGUUCAUGGGUUCAAGCCCCAUAUUGGGCU